AGUGUUCCGCCUGGGGAUUACGGUCGCAAGACUAAACUCAAAGGAAUUGACGGGGGCCCGCACAAGCGGUGGAGCAUGUGGUUUAAUUCGACGCAACCGCGAAGAACCUUACCUGGGUUUGACAUCCUUGGCUCGCCAUAGAGAUAUGGUUUUCCCUUCGGGGACCGAGUGACAGGUGCUGCAUGGCUGUCGUCAGCUCGUGUCGUGAGAUGUUGGGUUAAGUCCCGCAACGAGCGCAACCCUUGUCCUUAGUUGCCAGCGGUUCGGCCGGGAACUCUAAGGAGACUGCCGGUGUUAAGCCGGAGGAAGGUGGGGAUGACGUCAAGUCCUCAUGGCCUUUAUAUCCAGGGCUACACACGUGCUACAAUGGUGACUACAAAGAGCGGCGAGACCGCGAGGUUAAGCGAAUCUCAAAAAGGUCAUCUCAGUUCGGAUUGCAGUCUGCAACUCGGCNGCAUGAAGUUGGAAUCGCUAGUAAUCGUAGAUCAGCGUGCUACGGUGAAUACGUUCCCGGGCCUUGUACACACCGCCCGUC
rnacentral:rRNA from 1 species